rnacentral:rRNA from 1 species
UAUCUCUGUAGAGUCUGCAUAUCAAUAAGCGGAGGAAAAGAAACUAACUAAGGAUUCCCUUAGUAACGGCGAGUGAAGCGGGAAGAGCUCAAAUUUGAAAUCUUCAAGGUUUUACCUUGACGAAUUGUAGUUUAAAGAAGUGUUUUCUGUUGAAGUUUUGGUAAAAGUUCUUUGGAAUAGGACAUCAUAGAGGGUGAGAAUCCCGUAUUUGACCAUUACUUCCAGCUGUUGUGAUACACUUUCAAGAGUCGGAUUGUUUGGGAAUGCAGUCCGAAAUGGGUGGUAAAUUUCAUCUAAAGCUAAAUAUUGGCGAGAGACCGAUAGCGAACAAGUACCGUGAGGGAAAGAUGAAAAGAACUUUGAAAAGAGAGUUAAACAGUACGUGAAAUUGUCAAAAGGGAAGCGUUUGACACCAGUGUUGUUUUCUCGAAAAUCAAUUAAAAAAAGUUGGAUUUUGUAUUGUUAAGACCUUAUCAGCUUACUGUACUCUUUUCUUGCUUUUUUUAAUGCACUUUUCGUUUAACAAGUCAACAUCAAUUUCUUUUGUUGUAAAAGAGUCAUUGGAAGGUGGCUUUCACUUCGGUGAAAGUGUUUAUAGCCUUUGGCUUCUGCAAUCGGAGAGAUUGAGGUCUGCAGCGUAGAUCCUUCGGGGCUAGAUACGUAGAUGCUAAGUUAUAGUUUUUUAUAGACAACUUGUUGACUAUAAUUAAUCAUGUAGCUUACUCGUUUGCGCUAUUUUACCUACGCUUAGGAUGUUGAUAGUCACAGCGUGUAC